GGGUGCGAUCAUACCAACACUAAUGCACCGGAUCCCAACAGAACUCCACAGUUCAACGUGUUUGGGCGAGAGUAGUACUAGGAUGAGUGACCUUCUAGGAAGUCCUAGUGUUGCACCCC